AGGGGAAUAGCUCAAUCGGUAGAGCGCAUGCUUGGCAUGCACAAGGUCCUGAGUUCAAACCCCAGUACUUCCU
rnacentral:tRNA from 1 species